GGGGGAUUAGCUCAGCUGGGAGAGCGCGACAAUGGCAUUGUCGAGGCCGCGGGUUCGAGCCCCGCAUCCUCCACCA
rnacentral:tRNA from 1 species